GACGAACGCUGGCGGCGUGCCUAAUACAUGCAAGUAGGACGCGGUUGCGAACGGGUGAGUAACGCGUAGGUAACUACCUAUUAGAGGGGGUUAACUCUUGGACACGAUAGCUAAAACCGCAUACUUGUCGACGGACCUGCGUUGUAUUGGCUAGUAGGUCGGGUAAUGGCCUACCUAGGCAACGAUGCAUAGCCGGCCUAGUAGGGUGAUGGGGCAGACUGGGACUGAGACAAGGCACAGACUCCUACGGGAGGCAGCAGUAGGGAAUCUGUGGGAAGUGGGGGAACCCUGGCAGAGCAACGCCACGUGAGUGAAGAAGGUUUUGGGAGCUUAAAGCUCUGUUGUUAAGGUAGCGGUAGGUAACCAGAAAGGGACGGCUAACUACGUGCCAGCAGCCGCGGUAAUUC
rnacentral:rRNA from 1 species